GUAGUCCACGCCGUAAACGAUGUCGACUUGGAGGUUGUUCCCUUGAGGAGUGGCUUCCGGAGCUAACGCGUUAAGUCGACCGCCUGGGGAGUACGGCCGCAAGGUUAAAACUCAAAUGAAUUGACGGGGGCCCGCACAAGCGGUGGAGCAUGUGGUUUAAUUCGAUGCAACGCGAAGAACCUUACCUACUCUUGACAUCCAGAGAACUUAGCAGAGAUGCUUUGGUGCCUUCGGGAACUCUGAGACAGGUGCUGCAUGGCUGUCGUCAGCUCGUGUUGUGAAAUGUUGGGUUAAGUCCCGCAACGAGCGCAACCCUUAUCCUUUGUUGCCAGCGGUUAGGCCGGGAACUCAAAGGAGACUGCCAGUGAUAAACUGGAGGAAGGUGGGGAUGACGUCAAGUCAUCAUGGCCCUUACGAGUAGGGCUACACACGUGCUACAAUGGCGCAUACAAAGAGAAGCGACCUCGCGAGAGCAAGCGGACCUCAUAAAGUGCGUCGUAGUCCGGAUUGGAGUCUGCAACUCGACUCCAUGAAGUCGGAAUCGCUAGUAAUCGUAGAUCAGAAUGCUACGGUGAAUACGUUCCCGGGCCUUGUACACACCGCCCGUCACACCAUGGGAGUGGGUUGCAAAAGAAGUAGGUAGCUUAACCUUCGGGAGGGCGCUUACCACUUUGUGAUUCAUGACUG
rnacentral:rRNA from 1 species